AGCAGCCGCGGUAAUUCCAGCUCCAAUAGCGUAUAUUAAAGUUGUUGCAGUUAAAAAGCUCGUAGUUGAAUUUCGGGAUUGACACAUCGGUCGUGCCUUAAGGGGUGUGAACUGGUGUAGUCAAUUUCUCACCUUCUGGAGAACCGCGAUGUCCUUAAUUGGGUGCCGCGAGGAACCAGGACCUUUACUUUGAAAAAAUUAGAGUGUUUAAAGCAGGCAUUUUUGCUUGAAUACAUUAGCAUGGAAUAAUAAAAUAGGACGGCAUGAUUCUAUUUUGUUGGUUUCUAGGAUCACCGUAAUGAUUAAUAGGGAUAGUUGGGGGCAUUAGUAUUCAAUUGUCACAGGUGAAAUUCUUGGAUUUAUUGAAGACUAACUACUGCGAAAGCAUUUGCCAGGGAUGUUUUCAUUAAUCAAGAACGAAAGUUAGGGGAUCGAAGACGAUCAGAUACCGUCGUAGUCUUAACCAUAAACUAUGCCGACUAGGAAUCAGACGAUGUUAAUUUUUUAAUGACUCG
rnacentral:rRNA from 1 species